rnacentral:rRNA from 1 species
UCUUGGUCAUUUAGAGGAAGUAAAAGUCGUAACAAGGUCUCCGUAGGUGAACCUGCGGAGGGAUCAUUACAGAGACUCUGCCCCUUGGGUAGACCUCCCACCCUGUGUUGUUGUACCUUCGUUGCUUUGGCGGGCCGCGGGGCUCCGGUCCUGCCCCUGGCUCCGGCUAGGGCGCGCCCGCCAGAGGACCUCAAAACCUGAGUGUUAGUGUCGUCUGAGUACUAUCUAAUAGUUAAAACUUUCAACAACGGAUCUCUUGGUUCUGGCAUCGAUGAAGAACGCAGCGAAAUGCGAUAAGUAAUGUGAAUUGCAGAAUUCAGUGAAUCAUCGAAUCUUUGAACGCACAUUGCGCCCCUUGGUAUUCCGGGGGGCAUGCCUGUUCGAGCGUCAUUACAACCCUCAAGCUCUGCUUGGUCUUGGGCGUCACCGGUCCCCGGUGUGCCUUAAACUCAGUGGCGGCGCCAUCUGGCUCUAAGCGUAGUACAUACUCUCGCUACAGACGCCCGGUGGACGCUGGCCAGCAACCCCCAACUCACUAAGGUUGACCUCGGAUCAGGCAGGGAGACCCGCUGAAUUUAAGCAUAUCAAUAAGACGGUAGCAAGCUUCGAAUCCCUUUAUUGUGUCUUUACACACACAAUAUAUUAGUGAAUCUGACCUCAAAUCAGGUAGGACUACCCGCUGAACUUAAGCAUAUCAAUAAGCGGAGGAAAAGAAACCAACAGGGAUUACCUCAGUAACGGCGAGUGAAGCGGUAACAGCUCAAAUUUGAAAUCUGGGUCUUUCAGGCUCCGAGUUGUAAUUUGUAGAAGAUGCUUUGGGUGCGGCCCUGGUCUAAGUUCCUUGGAACAGGACGUCAUAGAGGGUGAGAAUCCCGUAUGUGAUCGGUGGCUUGCGCCCGUGUAAAGCUCUUUCGACGAGUCGGGUUGUUUGGGAAUGCAGCUCUAAAUGGGUGGUAAAUUUCAUCUAAAGCUAAAUAUUGGCCAGAGACCGAUAGCGCACAAGUAGAGUGAUCGAAAGAUGAAAAGAACUUUGGAAAGAGAGUUAAACAGUACGUGAAAUUGUUGAAAGGGAAGCGCUUGCAACCAGACUUGCGCGGGGUUGAUCAUCCGGGGUUCUCCCCGGUGCACUCGGCCUCGCUCAGGCCAGCAUCGGUUUCGGUGGUUGGAUAAAGACCUUGGGAAUGUAGCUCCUCUCGGGGAGUGUUAUAGUCCUCGGUGCAAUGCAGCCUACCGGGACCGACG